rnacentral:rRNA from 1 species
UACGUAGGGGGCAAGCGUUGUCCGGAAUCAUUGGGCGUAAAGCGCACGUAGGCGGCUUUGUAAGUUAGAGGUGAAAGCCCGGGGCUCAACCCCGGAAUUGCCUUUAAGACUGCAUCGCUUGAAUCCGGGAGAGGUGAGUGGAAUUCCGAGUGUAGAGGUGAAAUUCGUAGAUAUUCGGAAGAACACCAGUGGCGAAGGCGGCUCACUGGACCGGGUAUUGACGCUGAGGUGCGAAAGCGUGGGGGAGCAAACAGG